GACUCAGUGGUCCAAUGGUAAAGCGUUCGCCACGGAACCAGAGGGUCCUGGGUUCUAUCCCCAAUGGGGUCA
rnacentral:tRNA from 1 species